rnacentral:lncRNA from 1 species
UCUUGCCAGUGAAAACUACCGUCACACUAUUGAACUGCUGGCUCCUGUUGAGUAGUCGCGGAAGGUCCCGGUGCUGUUAUACUGUAAUGUAUGGUAAGAGGUUGGUCCUGUUGAGGAGUCACGGAAGGUCCUGAUGCUGCUACACUGUAAUGCAUGGCCUGAGGUUGUUCCUGUUGAGGAAUUGCCGAAGGUCCCGGUGCUGCUAUACUGUAAUGUAUGGUCAGAGGUUGCUCUGGUUGAGGAGCCGUGGAAGGUCCCGGAGCUACGCUGUAAUGUAUGGACUGAGGUUGCUCUUGUUGGUGAGUCACUGAAGGUCCCGCUGCUAUACUGUAAUGUAUGGACCGAGGUCGUGUUGCCUGUAUCAUUACUGCAACAUCAGCCGCUGCGAUAGCUGCAGCUUCCUGGUUUGAUU